GACGAACGCUGGCGGCGUGCUUAACACAUGCAAGUCGAACGGAAAGGCCCUGCUUUUGUGGGGUGCUCGAGUGGCGAACGGGUGAGUAACACGUGAGUAACCUGCCCUUGACUUUGGGAUAACUUCAGGAAACUGGGGCUAAUACCGGAUAGGAGCUCCUGCUGCUUGGUGGGGGUUGGAAAGUUUCGGCGGUUGGGGAUGGACUCGCGGGUUAUCAGCUGGUUGGUGGGGUAGUGGCUUACCAAGGCUUUGACGGGUAGCCGGCCUGAGAGGGUGACCGGCCACAUUGGGACUGAGAUACGGCCCAGACUCCUACGGGAGGCAGCAGUGGGGAAUAUUGCACAAUGGGCGGAAGCCUGAUGCAGCAACGCCGCGUGCGGGAUGACGGCCUUCGGGUUGUAAACCGCUUUCGCCUGUGACGAAGCGUGAGUGACGGUAAUGGGUAAAGAAGCACCGGCUAACUACGUG
rnacentral:rRNA from 1 species